GCAAACGCUACCUUCGCCGUACAUUGAUUGUCGGGGGUAUUCGGUCUUUUCCCGAAAUGCUCCGACAAUUGCCGAAGAUGACGUCAACGUCGUGGGGUCAGAGGUCAAGCGAAAUAAUGUUGCUAAGGUUAGCUGCUUCCCGGCGUGAUGCGGAAUUUCCUCCAUUUUAAGAUCCGGCACAGCAGACACCCGACCAUGGAAGGCACUUGAUUUGCCCCUGGGGGGGAGCUGAGGUUGCACGCCGGUUGUGACAGCUGUUUAAGUUAUAGUACGCAGAAACACUCUCUAUUUUGUAUAUAGUAGAGUGUAUUAAUUCCUCAAGCUACCGACAUCUUGCACACUGGAGUUGUCCCUCAGUAAAACGCAUAGUUCAAGUUUUGAACUUUUAUUCGCCCUGUCGGCCAAACUGGUUUCGCCAUGUGCAGCGUCUUCAGUGGAUAGAGGCAGACACUUUCCAUUUUGCGGGGGACAAAAAUUCAAACAAAGUCUCUGCUACAUACGCUCCAGCCACGAUGCAACGCCCCUGGCUGAAGCUGACGUCACGACGGAUUGGCAUGCUCCUAGUUCUGUUAGGGUUUGCGUGGGGCUGCACCCUGAUACACCUCACCCUGACGAGGGACAGGACUGAUGGGAGCGAAGCUCUGAGGAAACAAAUCCUCUCCAUGAGUAGGGACUACGUGAAGGAGAUGGCGAAGAAAGCGGAAAGCUCGCCGGACGGGCUUUUGGAAGAUCCAGACGAACCUGCAGCAGCUGGGUACAGAUUUGAUAUGACGAAGGGAUUUGCCGUCUUGCUAAACGACAUUCUCAAACGGCUGGACAGUUUAGAAGAGCUCUCCAACAAACUCGACGCUCACAACGAAACCCUUGAUAUGAAGAAGGGCUUUGCCGUCUUGCUGAAUGACAUGCUGAAACGCCUGGACAGUUUGGAAGAGCGCUUCAACAAACUCGACGCUCACAGCAAAAACCAAGACGUCAAGGACGCGCCCUUGAACAUCAAGAGCAACUUGGAAGGCGUGGUUCACCCGGAGAGCUGUGAGAUUCCGAGCGCGCCGGAAUUUCCGCACUGUGGUGGGAAGGUGGAGUGGAUGAAAGGGUUCUGGACGACGGACCCGUGUUAUGCGGAUUACGGCGUGGACGGAUCCAUGUGUUCAUUCCUGGUUUAUCUGAGUGAGGUUGAACAGUGGUGCCCUCCUCUCAUAUGGCGCAAGAAUUUCACAUCAACUGCAUCGGAAGAGCCUGCUGAAAUGGCCAGUCUUCAGGAGGAUGGAGAGCCGUUGCUGAGGAUGCUGAGUUCAGACAAGAGUCUCCUGUGGAUCAAGAUGCGGGUGGAGCGCAUGUGGCCCCAGUGGGUAGAGGCUGCUAACAGUCUCGCAGGCAGUCUGGCAAACAGGAAAAGGAAAAGGAUCCUGAUUCACCUGGGACUCUUGUCCAAAGAGUCUGAGUGGCAUUUCGGGGAGAAGGCUUUCGACGGAGGUCCGCUAGGAGAGCUUGUCCAAUGGAGUGACAUCAUCGCGAGUGUCUACGUCCUUGGGCAUGACCUUGAUUUGUCCUUCACAAAAGAAAGUCUGAAGAGAUGGUUAAACCCACGUGGGUCGCGUAGUACCCACGCUCGAGAAACACACCACAGACCCGGCAAGCUGGCGUUUGAUUCGCAGAGGAACAAGGGCGGCUGUCCAAUCAAAGGCAAGCCCCCCGCUGACAUCAUCUACAUCGAUAUCCUGGGGCUGGCUCAGAUCAAGAAGACUUUAGGCAUGGCAGGGAUCCAGCACUAUGCGUGCUACUUCCGGGUGGUGGAUAGUUUCGGCACCGAGCCAGAGUUCAACUUCCAGCCGUACGCCAAGCAGCGCAGCCGGAAGUCUCCCUGGGGUGGAUGGAACUUCAACCCUCGUCAGUUCUUCACCAUGUUCCCUCACUCCCCUGACAACUCCUUCAUGGGUUUUGUGGUGGAGCAGCACCUCAACAAGACAGAGAUACAGGACAUCCAGAGAAUAAAGAAACAGAACCAAGCGUUGGUGUACGGGAAGAAUGACUACAUGUGGGCGGGAUCCGGGAAACUCAUGAACGAGCUCGCGCAACAUUUUCAGAUCCACGCUACGGUCGCGAAGAACAAUGACGACCAGAAGCAGCUAGAAAACGUGCCAAGUUUUGUGAACAAUCACGGAGUGUUGCCAAGCGAGCAGUUAUACGAUCUCCUAAAAAGGACCAAACUUUUCGUUGGGCUGGGCUUUCCGUACGAGGGCCCUGCCCCACUCGAAGCAAUAGCAAGCGGCUGCGUGUUUCUAAACCCUAAGUUUACGCAGCCGAAGAGUAGACUGAACACUAAGUUUUUCGAGGGGAAGCCGACGUUUCGAGAGCUGACGUCGCAGCACCCCUAUGUGGAGGUUUUCGUUGGGAAGCCUCAUGUUUACACUGUAGACAUAGAUGACAGGGACAGUCUCGAGGCUGCGCUAACUGAGAUUAAAAAUUUGAAGGUUGACCCGUACCUGCCUUAUGAGUUUACAGCGGAGGGAAUGUUGCAGAGAGUUAGCACAUACAUACAGAAACAUAAUUUCUGUCAGUCGCCCCAUGCGUGGCCUCCGGAGAGUGCCUUGCAGGCCCGGCUAGCUGGGAAGGGCCAGUCCUGUAAACAAGCCUGCCAGGACCAGGGGCUCAUCUGUGAACCCUCCUACUUCCCUCUACUCAACAACAAGGACGCCAUGGAGAAAAACGGGCUGAAGUGCGACUCCGUGGACGACAUGAUGGAGGUUUACGCUCCCAGCAAGAACGAGGGAACGGGCACCUGCUCGGUCCAGUCGGAGAGGCUGCUGUUCAGCUGUGUGGGACAGGACCCGGACUACCAGCGCGUCUGUCCAUGCAGGGACUUCAUACAUGGGCAGGUGGCGCUGUGUCACGACUGUCUAUGACAACUGUUUAAUGUAACACAAGUUAACUCUUAAAGUGUCAGCCCUAUAAAAUGCUAUCAGUGCCAGGGUUGGCCGCUGACCUCCAAAAAGAAACCCCUGAACAAGGCAGAAGUCCCUAACAUCCGGGGUUCGUGCGCUACAUGCGUGCAAAGCUGCUACUUCGGGGUAAUACGCUAUCUCGUAUAUAUCCGGGUGCAGCACACAGGACAUUUAUAUGUGUGCCGGAUAUAUCCGGGCUUGGCAGUUUAUGGGUUUUAAGAUCCCACAUCUUUCUAUGACAGUGUUGUAUUACAUUAGUAUUAGUUCUUUCUUCACAACCAAGGAGUUCAAUCAAACAACAGUCAACAUUUGUGUCUCUGCAGUGAUUUUAUCCAUGGGCAGGUGGCGCUCUGUCACGACUGUCUAUGACAACUGUUUAACGUAACACAAGUUAAAAUGUUUCUAUGACUAGUGUUGUAUGACAUUGAUAUCAAUCACACAACAGCCGACUCUCUGUCUCUGCAGUGAUUUCAUCCAUGGACAGGUGGCGCUCUGUCACGACUGUCUAUGACCGUGACGUACCACUGUUGACAUCAAGAGUAGAGUAGAGUAUAAUUUGUUAUCAGCAAUUACAACAGGGGCAUCUUUGCGUGUCUGUCCCUGCAGAGACUUUGUAUAUGGGCAGGUGGCGCUCUGUCACGACUGUUUAUGACAGUGUCAUACCACUGUUUAACGUUAAGUUAAAGUUGCCCGUACGUCUGAGCAGAUGCGUAGGGACGUGGUGUCCAUCUCCAUUUCUGUAGCCCUUUGGCCACACAUUUGUGCAAGUCACUACAGCAGGGGGCUGGUCCGCUGGUAGUGAUGUGUGUUUAACUCCCAUACUCUUUCCCAAUUGCU